CCUGGCUCAGAACGAACGCUGGCGGCAGGCCUAACACAUGCAAGUCGAGCGCGCCCUUCGGGGUGAGCGGCGGACGGGUUAGUAACGCGUGGGAACGUACCUUUCGGUAAGGAAUAGCCUCUGGAAACGGAGAGUAAUACCUUAUACGCCCUUUGGGGGAAAGAUUUAUCGCCGAGGGAUCGGCCCGCGUUAGAUUAGAUAGUUGGUGGGGUAACGGCCUACCAAGUCUACGAUCUAUAGCUGGUUUUAGAGGAUGAUCAGCAACACUGGGACUGAGACACGGCCCAGACUCCUACGGGAGGCAGCAGUGGGGAAUCUUGGACAAUGGGCGCAAGCCUGAUCCAGCCAUGCCGCGUGAGUGAUGAAGGCCUUAGGGUCGUAAAGCUCUUUCGCCAGGGAUGAUAAUGACAGUACCUGGUAAAGAAACCCCGGCUAACUCCGUGCCAGCAGCCGCGGUAAUACGGAGGGGGUUAGCGUUGUUCGGAAUUACUGGGCGUAAAGCGUACGUAGGCGGAUUAGUCAGUCAGAGGUGAAAUCCCAGGGCUCAACCCUGGAACUGCCUUUGAUACUACUAGUCUUGAGUUCGAGAGAGGUGAGUGGAAUUCCGAGUGUAGAGGUGAAAUUCGUAGAUAUUCGGAGGAACACCAGUGGCGAAGGCGGCUCACUGGCUCGAUACUGACGCUGAGGUAC
rnacentral:rRNA from 1 species